UAACGGCGAGUGAAGCGGCAACAGCUCAAAUUUGAAAUCUGGCUCCGGCCCGAGUUGUAAUUUGCAGAGGAAGCUUCUGGUGAUAUACUGUCUAAGUCCCCUGGAACGGGGCGCCACAGUGGGUGAGAGCCCCAUAUGACAGAUGUAGAUCCUGUGUGAAGCUCCUUCGACGAGUCGAGUAGUUUGGGAAUGCUGCUCUAAAUGGGAGGUAAAUUCCUUCUAAAGCUAAAUAUUGGCCAGAGACCGAUAGCGCACAAGUAGAGUGAUCGAAAGAUGAAAAGCACUUUGAAAAGAGGGUUAAACAGCACGUGAAAUUGUUGAAAGGGAAGCGCUUAUGACCAGACUUGCGCUGGGCUGAUCAUCCGGUGUUCUCACCGGUGCACUCGGCCCAGCUCAGGCCAGCAUCGGUUUUGGUGGGGGGAUAAAGGCGUUGGGAACGUAGCUCCUUCGGGAGUGUUAUAGCCCAGCGUGCAAUACCCCCGCUGGGACCGAGGUUCGCGCAUCUGCAAGGAUGCUGGCGUAAUGGUCAUCAGCGACCCGUCUUGAAACACGGACCAAGGAGUCAAGGUUUUGCGCGAGUGUUUGGGUGUCAAACCCGCACGCGUAAUGAAAGUGAACGUAGGUGAGAGCUUCGGCGCAUCAUCGACCGAUCCUGAUGUAUUCGGAUGGAUUUGAGUAGGAGCGUUAAGCCUUGGACCCGAAAGAUGGUGAACUAUGCUUUGGAUAGGGUGAAGCCAGAGGAAACUCUGGUGGAGGCUCGCAGCGKUUCUGACKUGCAAWUCGAUCGUCAAAUCUGAGCAUGGGGGCGAAAGACUAAUCGAACCAUCUAGUAGCUGG
rnacentral:rRNA from 1 species